rnacentral:rRNA from 1 species
GACGAAGGGGGCUAGCGUUGUUCGGAAUUACUGGGCGUAAAGCGCGUGUAGGUGGUUUUCCAAGUUGGAUGUGAAAGCCUUGAGCUCAACUCAAGAAAUGCAUUCAGGACUGGAAGACUAGAGGACCGGAGAGGAUAGUGGAAUUCCCAGUGUAGUGGUGAAAUACGUAGAGAUUGGGAAGAACACCAGUGGCGAAGGCGGCUAUCUGGACGGUUUCUGACACUAAGACUCGAAAGCGUGGGGAGCAAACAGG